GGGGGCCAAGCCAUGCUAUCUUAUAUGGCAGUGCAGCUAAUUUCUGAUAACGGAUAUUCCAAGAACGGUUUUUCAACAGCUUUUUUUCUUGACAACUAUGCCAAAAGCUUUCCACACUGUUAUUCGCUCUCUCUCACUGAAUGUUCCUCUCUCGCUCUGACACAUUGUGGUCCUCUCUGUCACACUCAUUGAGUUGCUAUUGCGCUGUUCGUUUGAGCGUCGCUCGUGCUUGGCUGGCGGCUUGGUUCGGCCCCUGGCACUUCGGCUCUGGCCGCUUCGGGUCGGUGUUCGGCUAGCGCCAGUUGCCAAUGAACUGAAGCGUUUUGGGUAUGCAAACUCAUUUUAGCUUUUGAACUCAUUCAGUUCAAAUUUACCAGCGGAUUUGUGCGGAUUACAAAAGACACACAGAGGGACACAAACACACGCAAGACAAAGCACACAGACGCGUUCGCUCGCUAACACGUGCGUAUGUGUAAUAUUUGCCCCAAAUUGGAAUGCAUGCCAAUAAAAAUAAAUAUACAAAAAAUAUAUGAUUAAAAAUAUAUAUACGAAAUAUUAAACAAAAUGUAAUGAAUGCAUAUGUUAAAUACAAUCACAAAAGAAAUUAUAAUAAAAGAAAAAC